CCUGGUGCGCCUGGGCGCAAGGCCACCACGUCUCCAAGGCACCGGACGGUUUUGAGGGGCUGGCUCUGGAGCGGGCGGGGAGGUGGAGAGGUCCAAGGGGCCCCCACCUCUCUGCCCCGCUCGGGGUCUUACUGGCUUCACGAGGAAAACAAGGCAGGCUUCUGGCGAAUUCCCACUCGUUUCAGUUCUGGUUCUUGAAUGAGAGAGAAGCAAAGAAAGCUGGCGCCCGUGGACAAGGGACUAAUCGAGGCAUUUGGAGCCCUGGGCUGGGGAAGUUGAGAUGAAUCCAAGCUCAAAGAUCCCAUCUCCCCUUCCUCCCUGAUGCCCAACCACAAGGUGGAGUGACUUGUUUAAGGUCAUGCAGGGUUCAGCUGCCAGUACAGCCCAAGGGCACUUUGGGAGGCCUACCGCCAGUUCUGGGACAGGCCCCCAUCCCAACCUAACAGGUCAACUCUAUUCCCCCUCCCAAAUGCUCUGGGCAUGUGCAGAAGAGCUGAAUGAGGAGCUCUGCUCUGCCCCAGGUCAGGGAAGCAGAGAAAGAUAAGAAGACCACGUGGUCUUACUCUGGAAAAGGGGAAGAUAUUUGAGGGCUGGAGCUGCUUGACUGACUCUUACAAAAUGCUCUGCAUAUCGCAGGCACUUCCUAGAAUAAAUGCUGGUUCCUGAAUUUGGAGCCUGAUAACCGGCGGGGACCUUGGACAAGUCCCUCUGAGCCUCAAGAAGUUACUUUGCAUUUCCUUUGCAUUUUAUAUCAGUCCUGGGUCUUUAGGCAUCUUCCUUCCCUUGAUACAAUGGAAACUCCUUGAGCAGUCACUGUUUGGGGGUUUGGCUUUUUCUCUCUGAUACCUGACCCUAGAAGGGGCUGAAUAAAUGCUUGCUUGACUUAA